rnacentral:rRNA from 1 species
GUAAGCUACUAAGAGUAAGUGGUGGAUGCCUUGGCUAGUAGAGGCGAUGAAAGACGUGCCAGGCUGCGAUAAGUCUCGGGGAGCCGUCAAGGGGCUUUGAUCCGGGAAUUUCUGAAUGGGGCAACCCAGUUAAGCGCGAGCUUAACUACCUAAUAUGGAGCGAACGAGGGGAAUUGAAACAUCUUAGUACCCUCAGGAAAAGAAAUCAAAAGAGAUUACGCCAGUAGCGGCGAGCGAACGCGUAAGAGGGCAAACCGUUAGUUUACUAACGGGGUUGUAGGACUGCGAUAUAGACUAAACUUAGCUAAUAGAAUAAUCUGGAAAGAUUAAGCAUAGAGGGUGAUACUCCCGUAUAUGAAAGCUUUGUUUUACUUAGCAGUAUCCUGAGUAGGGCGGAACACGUGAUAUUCUGUCUGAAGCUGGGUAGACCACUAUCCAACCCUAAAUACUACUACUAGACCGAUAGUGCACAAGUACCGUGAGGGAAAGGUGAAAAGAACUGAGGUGAUCAGAGUGAAAUAGAACCUGAAACCAUUUGCUUACAAUCAUUCAGAGCCCUAUGAUUUAUCAGGGUGAUGGACUGCCUUUUGCAUAAUGAGCCUGCGAGUUGUGAUGUCUGGCAAGGUUAAGGAAACCCGGAGCCGUAGCGAAAGCGAGUCUUAAUAGGGCGUUUAGUCAGACGUUGCAGACCCGAAACGAUGUGAUCUAUCCAUGAGCAGGUUGAAGCCGGUGUAAGAGCCGGUGGAGGACCGAACCCGCUAGCGUUGAAAAGCUAUGGGAUGACUUGUGGAUAGGGGUGAAAGGCCAAUCAAACAUCGUGAUAGCUGGUUCUCUCCGAAAUAUAUUUAGGUAUAGCGUCAUGUAGUAACACUAGGGGGUAGAGCACUGAAUGGGCUAGGGCAUACACCAAUGUACCAAACCCUAUCAAACUCCGAAUACCUAGUGCGUAAUCAUGGCAGUCAGGCGGCGAGUGAUAAAAUCCGUCGUCGAGAGGGGAACAACCCAGACUAACAGCUAAGGUCCCUAAAUCUCAUUUAAGUGGAAAACGAUGUGGAGUUACUUAAACAACCAGGAGGUUGGCUUAGAAGCAGCCAUCCUUUAAAGAAAGCGUAAUAGCUCACUGGUCUAGUGAUUCUGCGCGGAAAAUAUAACGGGGCUAAAAUGAGUACCGAAGCUUUAGACUUAGUUUUACUAAGUGGUAGGAGAGCGUUGUAUUUGCGUUGAAGGUAUACCGGUAAGGAGUGCUGGAGCGAAUACAAGUGAGCAUGCAGGCAUGAGUAGCGAUAAUUGGGGUGAGAAUCCCCAACGCCGUAAACCCAAGGUUUCCUACGCGAUGCUCGUCAUCGUAGGGUUAGCCGGGUCCUAAGCAAAGUCCGAAAGGGGUAUGCGAUGGAAAAUUGGUUAAUAUUCCAAUGCCAACUAUAAUGUGCGAUGGAAGGACGCUUAGAGUUAGAGGAGCCAGCGGAUGGUAGUGCUGGUCGAAAGGUGCAGGUUGGAGUUCAGGCAAAUCCGAACUCCUUUAAGCCGAGGCCUUAUAGGUGCGUGAAGUUCUUCGGAAUGAAUCGUAAAUCCUUGAUACUGUCGAGCCAAGAAAAGUUUCUAAGUUUAGUUAUAGUUGCCCGUACCGUAAACCGACACAGGUGGGUGGGAUGAGUAUUCUAAGGCGCGUGGAAGAACUCUCUUCAAGGAACUCUGCAAAAUAGCACCGUAUCUUCGGUAUAAGGUGUGCCUAACUUUGUGAAGGAUUUACUCCGUAAGCAUUGAAGGUUACAACAAAGAGUCCCUCCCGACUGUUUACCAAAAACACAGCACUCUGCUAACUCGUAAGAGGAUGUAUAGGGUGUGACGCCUGCCCGGUGCUCGAAGGUUAAUUGAUGACGUUAGCUCUGCGAAGCGUUUGAUCGAAGCCCGAGUAAACGGCGGCCGUAACUAUAACGGUCCUAAGGUAGCGAAAUUCCUUGUCGAUUAAAUAUCGACCUGCAUGAAUGGCGUAACGAGAUGGGAGCUGUCUCGAAGAGGGAUCCAGUGAAAUUGUAGUGGAGGUGAAAAUUCCUCCUACCCGCGGCAAGACGGAAAGACCCCGUGGACCUUUACUACAGCUUGACACUGCUAUUGGGAUAAAAAUGUGCAGGAUAGGCGGGAGGCUUUGAUCCAUAGACGCCAGUUUAUGGUGAGCCAUUGUUGAGAUACCGCUCUUUUUUAUUCUGAUAGCUAACUAGCUUGAGUUAUCCUCAAGUAGGACAAUGUCUGGUGGGUAGUUUGACUGGGGCGGUCGCCUCCCAAAAUGUAACGGAGGCUUACAAAGGUUGGCUCAGAACGGUUGGAAAUCGUUCGUAGAGUAUAAAGGCAUAAGCCAGCUUAACUGCGAGACAUACACGUCAAGCAGAGACGAAAGUCGGUCUUAGUGAUCCGGUGGUUCUGUGUGGAAGGGCCAUCGCUCAAAGGAUAAAAGGUACCCCGGGGAUAACAGGCUGAUCUCCCCCAAGAGCUCACAUCGACGGGGAGGUUUGGCACCUCGAUGUCGGCUCAUCGCAUCCUGGGGCUGGAGCAGGUCCCAAGGGUUGGGCUGUUCGCCCAUUAAAGCGGUACGCGAGCUGGGUUCAGAACGUCGUGAGACAGUUCGGUCCCUAUCUGCCGUGGGCGCAAGAAGAUUGAGGAGAGUUGACCCUAGUACGAGAGGACCGGGUUGAACCGACCACUGGUGUACCAGUUAUCCUGCCAAGGGUAGCGCUGGGUAGCUAUGUCGGGAUGAGAUAACCGCUGAAAGCAUCUAAGCAGGAAGCCAACUCCAAGAUGAAUCUUCUUUUAAGAGCUCAUAUAGACUAUGUGUUUGAUAGGCUGGGUGUGUAAUGGAUGAAAGUCCUUUAGCUGACCAGUACUAAUAGCUCGUCUGCUUAUCUUUU